GAUGAACGCUAGCGGCAGGCCUAACACAUGCAAGUCGAACGGUAACAUGAGAGCUUGCUCUUGAUGACGAGUGGCGCACGGGUGCGUAACGCGUAUGCAACCUACCCUAUACAGGGGGAUAGCCCGGAGAAAUUCGGAUUAAUACCCCAUAAUAUUUUUGUAACACAUGUUAUAAUAAUUAAAGCUUCGGCGGUAUAGGAUGGGCAUGCGUCCCAUUAGUUAGUUGGUGAGGUAACGGCUCACCAAGACUUCGAUGGGUAGGGGUUCUGAGAGGAUUAUCCCCCACACUGGUACUGAGACACGGACCAG
rnacentral:rRNA from 1 species